AAUGGGGGCAACCCUGACGCAGCAACGCCGCGUGAGUGAAGAAGCAUCUUGGCGUGUAAAGCUCUGUCGAUAGGGAAUAAGGUUAUUUGAUUAAGAGUUGAGUGACUUGAAUGUACCUAUAGAGGAAGCCCCGGCUAACUCCGUGCCAGCAGCUGCGGUAAUACGGAGGGGGCCAGCGUUAUUCGGAAUUACUGGGCGUAAAGGGCGCGUAGGCGGUUCUGUAAGUGAGAAGUGAAAGCCCUCGGCUUAACCGGGGAACGGCCUUUCAAACUGCAGAACUUGAGGACGGGAGAGGAAAGUGGAAUUCCAGGUGUAGCGGUGAAAUGCGUAGAGAUCUGGAGGAACACCAGUGGCGAAGGCGGCUUUCUGGACCGAACCUGACGCUGAUGCGCGAAAGCGUGGGGAGCAAACAGGAUU
rnacentral:rRNA from 1 species